rnacentral:rRNA from 1 species
GGGUUGUGAGGUUAAGCGACUAAGCGUACACGGUGGAUGCCCUGGCAGUCAGAGGCGAUGAAGGACGUGCUAAUCUGCGAUAAGCGUCGGUGAGGUGAUAUGAACCGUUAUAACCGGCGAUUUCCGAAUGGGGAAACCCAGUGUGUUUCGACACACUAUCAUUAACUGAAUCCAUAGGUUAAUGAGGCGAACCGGGGGAACUGAAACAUCUAAGUACCCCGAGGAAAAGAAAUCAACCGAGAUUCCCCCAGUAGCGGCGAGCGAACGGGGAGGAGCCCAGAGCCUGAAUCAGUGUGUGUGUUAGUGGAAGCGUCUGGAAAGGCGCGCGAUACAGGGUGACAGCCCCGUACACAAAAAUGCACAUGCUGUGAGCUCGAUGAGUAGGGCGGGACACGUGGUAUCCUGUCUGAAUAUGGGGGGACCAUCCUCCAAGGCUAAAUACUCCUGACUGACCGAUAGUGAACCAGUACCGUGAGGGAAAGGCGAAAAGAACCCCGGCGAGGGGAGUGAAAAAGAACCUGAAACCGUGUACGUACAAGCAGUGGGAGCCUCUUAAUGGGGUGACUGCGUACCUUUUGUAUAAUGGGUCAGCGACUUAUAUUCUGUAGCAAGGUUAACCGAAUAGGGGAGCCGAAGGGAAACCGAGUCUUAACUGGGCGUUAAGUUGCAGGGUAUAGACCCGAAACCCGGUGAUCUAGCCAUGGGCAGGUUGAAGGUUGGGUAACACUAACUGGAGGACCGAACCGACUAAUGUUGAAAAAUUAGCGGAUGACUUGUGGCUGGGGGUGAAAGGCCAAUCAAACCGGGAGAUAGCUGGUUCUCCCCGAAAGCUAUUUAGGUAGCGCCUCGUGAAUUCAUCUCCGGGGGUAGAGCACUGUUUCGGCAAGGGGGUCAUCCCGACUUACCAACCCGAUGCAAACUGCGAAUACCGGAGAAUGUUAUCACGGGAGACACACGGCGGGUGCUAACGUCCGUCGUGAAGAGGGAAACAACCCAGACCGCCAGCUAAGGUCCCAAAGUCAUGGUUAAGUGGGAAACGAUGUGGGAAGGCCCAGACAGCCAGGAUGUUGGCUUAGAAGCAGCCAUCAUUUAAAGAAAGCGUAAUAGCUCACUGGUCGAGUCGGCCUGCGCGGAAGAUGUAACGGGGCUAAACCAUGCACCGAAGCUGCGGCAGCGACACUAUGUGUUGUUGGGUAGGGGAGCGUUCUGUAAGCCUGUGAAGGUGGCCUGUGAGGGUUGCUGGAGGUAUCAGAAGUGCGAAUGCUGACAUAAGUAACGAUAAAGCGGGUGAAAAGCCCGCUCGCCGGAAGACCAAGGGUUCCUGUCCAACGUUAAUCGGGGCAGGGUGAGUCGACCCCUAAGGCGAGGCCGAAAGGCGUAGUCGAUGGGAAACAGGUUAAUAUUCCUGUACUUGGUGUUACUGCGAAGGGGGGACGGAGAAGGCUAUGUUGGCCGGGCGACGGUUGUCCCGGUUUAAGCGUGUAGGCUGGUUUUCCAGGCAAAUCCGGAAAAUCAAGGCUGAGGCGUGAUGACGAGGCACUACGGUGCUGAAGUGACAAAUGCCCUGCUUCCAGGAAAAGCCUCUAAGCAUCAGGUAACAUCAAAUCGUACCCCAAACCGACACAGGUGGUCAGGUAGAGAAUACCAAGGCGCUUGAGAGAACUCGGGUGAAGGAACUAGGCAAAAUGGUGCCGUAACUUCGGGAGAAGGCACGCUGAUAUGUAGGUGAAGCGACUUGCUCGUGGAGCUGAAAUCAGUCGAAGAUACCAGCUGGCUGCAACUGUUUAUUAAAAACACAGCACUGUGCAAACACGAAAGUGGACGUAUACGGUGUGACGCCUGCCCGGUGCCGGAAGGUUAAUUGAUGGGGUUAGCGGUAACGCGAAGCUCUUGAUCGAAGCCCCGGUAAACGGCGGCCGUAACUAUAACGGUCCUAAGGUAGCGAAAUUCCUUGUCGGGUAAGUUCCGACCUGCACGAAUGGCGUAAUGAUGGCCAGGCUGUCUCCACCCGAGACUCAGUGAAAUUGAACUCGCUGUGAAGAUGCAGUGUACCCGCGGCAAGACGGAAAGACCCCGUGAACCUUUACUAUAGCUUGACACUGAACAUUGAGCCUUGAUGUGUAGGAUAGGUGGGAGGCUUUGAAGUGUGGACGCCAGUCUGCAUGGAGCCGACCUUGAAAUACCACCCUUUAAUGUUUGAUGUUCUAACGUUGGCCCCUAAUCGGGGUUGCGGACAGUGUCUGGUGGGUAGUUUGACUGGGGCGGUCUCCUCCUAAAGAGUAACGGAGGAGCACGAAGGUUGGCUAAUCCUGGUCGGACAUCAGGAGGUUAGUGCAAUGGCAUAAGCCAGCUUGACUGCGAGCGUGACGGCGCGAGCAGGUGCGAAAGCAGGUCAUAGUGAUCCGGUGGUUCUGAAUGGAAGGGCCAUCGCUCAACGGAUAAAAGGUACUCCGGGGAUAACAGGCUGAUACCGCCCAAGAGUUCAUAUCGACGGCGGUGUUUGGCACCUCGAUGUCGGCUCAUCACAUCCUGGGGCUGAAGUAGGUCCCAAGGGUAUGGCUGUUCGCCAUUUAAAGUGGUACGCGAGCUGGGUUUAGAACGUCGUGAGACAGUUCGGUCCCUAUCUGCCGUGGGCGCUGGAGAACUGAGGGGGGCUGCUCCUAGUACGAGAGGACCGGAGUGGACGCAUCACUGGUGUUCGGGUUGUCAUGCCAAUGGCACUGCCCGGUAGCUAAAUGCGGAAGAGAUAAGUGCUGAAAGCAUCUAAGCACGAAACUUGCCCCGAGAUGAGUUCUCCCUGACUCCUUGAGAGUCCUGAAGGAACGUUGAAGACGACGACGUUGAUAGGCCGGGUGUGUAAGCGCAGCGAUGCGUUGAGCUAACCGGUACUAAUGAACCGUGAGGCUUAACCUUACAACGCCGAAG